rnacentral:lncRNA from 7 species
GAAAAACUGUUGUAUAUAUGCUGACUUACAAUUGUAAACUGUUGUAACCGAAGGAGCCGGGGUUUCCAACUGUGACGACCGUGUGUAGGUCAAUAAGCGUGCAAACUAGUGGCAUCCAUCCACAUCAAAUGAUACGUCGAAAUCUUGUCUAUAUAUAUAAUGAAUAGUGAUAAUGGACCACCACAGAAGCCGAUCUUCCACCUAAUUCGUCGCCAUUAUUAAUUUUUUGGACCAGAUUGUAGUUGAUAGAUGCCCUACGAUACGACCCUCCAAAAAGCGACACCAUACUAUAUACUGCAAGUCUGCAACCGCCCACAGUUCUGUACGUACCACUACCACAACAAGAGUGCCUUGUGUGCCGGCCCAAGCAUAUUGUAGUCUUUUACUUCCUGGUCGAUCACGUUGUUCUUUAGAUAGUGUAUAAAAGGAUCAUAUCGGCUAGCUAGCUAGCUAGCUCGAUAUAUCGUCGUGAAAAUUAUAAUAAUAAUAAUAAAAGUACGCGCAAGAGGCUAGCUAGGGAUUCGCUCUGACUGUUGAGAGGCACGCGGCGCGGGGGCAUAUAUUCUUGCGACGAUCAUGGUACAAUGCGAACGAAUAAAGCUGCAGAUCGACCGACAAAUAUUCUCCGAGAUCGAUCUCGCCUAUUUUUAACAACCUAAUUAAUUAAGCAGAGGCAAGGCAUUUAUCCCUGUGCAGGCUCUCUGGGCAUGCAUCCAUGCAUGCAUGUCGUUGUUCGCAGGAAAGCAGUGUGGUCGAGUACAGUGCUGGUUCCAAUUAAGUUUUCAGCCUUUGAUUUGAUCUAUAUAUAUA